rnacentral:lncRNA from 1 species
AUCGUGAUGAGGAAGAGUUAAUUUGAGACGUUAUAAUGAUGGCUUAAAAGGAUAUUUUCAAAAAAAAUCUCCAACUUCCAUCAUAGAAGAAAGUCAAAAAAAUCAUGUUCUAUACAAAUUUUUCUCAUUAAAAUAUAAAAAUUAUAUUUCGGACAUUUUUUUCCAACUUUUUUUUUAAAAAAAAAAUUCAACCAUACAACAGAGAUUUUUUUUUUUUUCACUGACCAUACUAUUCUACCUCCACUUCCCACGGACC